rnacentral:rRNA from 1 species
CCUACGGGAGGCAGCAGUGGGGAAUAUUGCGCAAUGGGCGAAAGCCUGACGCAGCGACGCCGCGUGAGGGAUGAAGGUCUUCGGAUCGUAAACCUCUGUCAGCAGGGAAGAACGGUCACUGUGCUAAUCAGCAGUGAAUUGACGGUACCUGCAAAGGAAGCACCGGCUAACUCCGUGCCAGCAGCCGCGGUAAUACGGAGGGUGCGAGCGGUAAUCGGAAUUACUGGGCGUAAAGCGCUCGUAGGCGGUAUGUCAAGUCAAGGGUGAAUUCCCCGCGCGCAAAGUGGGAACUGCCUUUGAAACUGGCAAAGUGGAGUGUGUGAGAGGAUAGGGGAAUUCCAGGUGUAGGA